rnacentral:rRNA from 1 species
ACUCAAAUGAAUAGACGGGGGCCCGCACAAGCGGUGGAGCAUGUGGUUUAAUUCGAUGCAACGCGAAGAACCUUACCUGGCCUUGACAUAGUAGAAACUUUCCAGAGAUGGAUUGGUGCCUUCGGGAAUCUACAUACAGGUGCUGCAUGGCUGUCGUCAGCUCGUGUCGUGAGAUGUUGGGUUAAGUCCCGCAACGAGCGCAACCCUUUUCCUUACUUGCCAGCAUUUCGGAUGGGAACUUUAAGGAUACUGCCAGUGACAAACUGGAGGAAGGCGGGGACGACGUCAAGUCAUCAUGGCCCUUACGGCCAGGGCUACACACGUGCUACAAUGGUCGGUACAAAGGGUUGCUACCUCGCGAGAGGAUGCUAAUCUCAAAAAGCCGAUCGUAGUCCGGAUCGCAGUCUGCAACUCGACUGCGUGAAGUCGGAAUCGCUAGUAAUCGCGGAUCAGAAUGCCGCGGUGAAUACGUUCCCGGGCCUUGUACACACCGCCCGU